rnacentral:ncRNA from 1 species
GCGGCGACCUCGGCCGUUCACGAUGUGCUUUCGACGAGUCGGGUUGUUUGGGAAUGCAGCCCAAAAUGGGUGGUAAACUCCAUCUAAAGCUAAAUAUUGGCACGAGACCGAUAGCGAACAAGUACCGUGAGGGAAAGAUGAAAAGCACUUUGAAAAGAGAGUUAAAAAGUACGUGAAACCGUUAAAAGGGAAACGAAUGGGGUUAGCAAUGCGUCGUGCGAGAUUCAGCCGGUGGGUGGGCCAGGCGGGCGGUUGGCGGAUCUGAAUGGACCGCUGCCGUUCGGGUUGGUUUCCCGACCGUCGCACUCCUCGCAGGCGCGCGCCAACGUCGGUUAGGGCUGGGUCUCAAAGGCGGUGGAAAGGUAGGUUUGGACUCUCGGGCCCGAACUGUUACAGUCCUCCGUUUGUCAUGGCCCGGACCUGACCGAGGAGCUUGCGGUGCAUGCCGUUCGGCUAGGGUCCCGUCUUCCCGGUCGGUCGUCGAAUGCGGUGGACUGCGUGCAGUGCGCCGCGACUGCUGCCGGUCGCGAGGGCGGUGAUUUCGUACUAUGCACCCACGACGUUGGUGGUCAUAUGGCCUCAUCCGACCCGUCUUGAAACACGGACCAAGGAGUCUAACAUGUGUGCGAGUCUUUGAGUGAUCCAAACUCCGAGGCGAAAUGAAAGUGAAGGCGACUUCGGUCGCUGAGGUGAGAGCCUUUUACAAAAAAGAGGCGCAUCAUUGACCGACCUAUUCUACUCUAGAAAGGUUGAGAA